CUUACGGGAGGCAGCAGUGGGGAAUUUUGGACAAUGGGCGAAAGCCUGAUCCAGCAAUGCCGCGUGAGUGAAGAAGGCCUUCGGGUUGUAAAGCUCUUUUGUCAGGGAAGAAACGGUGAGAGCUAAUAUCUCUUGCUAAUGACGGUACCUGAAGAAUAAGCACCGGCUAACUACGUGCCAGCAGCCGCGGUAAUACGUAGGGUGCAAGCGUUAAUCGGAAUUACUGGGCGUAAAGCGUGCGCAGGCGGUUUUGUAAGUCUGAUGUGAAAUCCCCGGGCUCAACCUGGGAAUUGCAUUGGAGACUGCAAGGCUAGAAUCUGGCAGAGGGGGGUAGAAUUCCACGUGUAGCAGUGAAAUGCGUAGAUAUGUGGAGGAACACCGAUGGCGAAGGCAGCCCCCUGGGUCAAGAUUGACGCUCAUGCACGAAAGCGUGGGGAGCAAACAGGAUUAGAUACCCUGGUAGUCCACGCCCUAAACGAUGUCUACUAGUUGUCGGGUCUUAAUCGACUUGGUAACGCAGCUAACGCGUGAAGUAGACCGCCUGGGGAGUACGGUUCGNAAGAUUAAAACUCAAAAGGAUUGACGGGCNGAGAGNGCGAGGACGACGACGAGGAGGAGG
rnacentral:rRNA from 1 species